rnacentral:rRNA from 1 species
GACGAACGCUGGCGGCGUGCUUAAUACAUGCAAGUCGAACGGAAAGGUGCUGCUUUUGUGGGGUGCUCGAGUGGCGAAGGGGUGAGUAACACGUGAGUAACACGCCCUUGUCAUUGGGAUAACUUCAGGAAACUGGGGCUAAUACAGGAUAGGAGCUACUGCUGCAUGGUGGGGGUUGGAAAGUUUCGGCGGUUGUGGAUGGAAUCGCGGCUUAUGCGCUUGUUGGUGGGGUAGUGGCUUACCAAGGUUUUGACGGCUAGCCGGCAUGAGAGCGGGGACGGCCACAAGACUCCUACGAGACGGCCCAGUAGCCAACGGGAGGCAGUAGGGGAGAACCUUGCGCAGUGAGCCGAAGUCUGAGAUAACGACGCCGGGAUCGUAAUGACGGGCUACGGGUGGUAAACCGCUUUCGCCUGUAACAAGGCCGUAGUGACGGUAAUGGAUAAAGAAGCACCGGCUAACUACGUG